UACUUCUUUCUCCUCCAUCGAUAAAAUGAUUUCUCUUCCAAAGACAAAAACAGCUAGAUUUCUGAAGGACUCACAUGGGCAAACAUCUAUCAACAAAAGAAAGUAUGCAUAUGUUAUGAUUAAGACCGAAUAUUUCCAACAUGUUAUCUUCAUUUCCAAACAAAUUAUGAGAAAACUUCGGUUCAUAAAAUCGUUUGUAAGUUUAUGUGUGUUUAUGCAUGCAAGAGCACGUGUGUGUGUGUGUGUGUGUGUGAGAGAGAGAGAGAGAGAGCAAAAACUGUAUAAAGCAAAAAUUGCUUCUCAGUUCUAACUUUCUAUAAAGAAGACAUGCAAAAUAACCCAUGCAUUGUGCUGCUGAGUUGAUUCUUAAGAUACUGGCAUUGGACUGAAGCCCAAAUCUCAUAAACGUAUACAUAUGCCCUUCAACCUAGAUCCCCACGAACAUUUACCCCUCAAUAUGCCUCUACUCUAACCUCAUGUCCGAAAUCUGAAAGGAACCACAAAUGUCUACCCUAUCCGUGAACCAUCCUUUGGCAACUAAAUAUCCCAAUAGUAAAACCUACAGCAAAGGUUUCCUUCAUCCAGUAGAAAUAUGUUGUUUUCAUAUUUAUUUAAGCUGUGUUUGGAUGCAUUCUCAGAAUAGAUUUGGGGUCUAGAACGCAUUCUGAACGGAGAAAAUAGAGGAGCUUCAAAAUGUGUUCUAGACCCAGGAUCUAUUCUGAGAAUGUAUACCAAACACAGCCUUAUGUUAAGGACAAUUCACAUUCCCCUUUUGCCCAGAAAUAUUGAACUAUGAUUAUAACCUUAAUGACUCCCUGUGCAUCAUGUCUGUUACAACAAAGAUGGUCUCUCUAAAGUGAUUCUUAGAGAUGUCUAAGCAAUUGAGGAUUCUUCCGAAUUAAACCCUGGGAAAAAAAAAUUAAAUUGUUAGUAGGUAAAGGUAAACACCAAGGUCUAAGGGCCCCACACUUGUUAACUGAAAAUCUUAUGCUACGAGUCCUAUAACAAAAGCAGCAGCAAGGUUUUUCCCAAUCCUCCCAACUGUAUUUAA